rnacentral:rRNA from 1 species
UCGUAGUUGGAUACGAAUAGGCCUCCGGGCCCUGUACCUCAGCAGGCUGGCGACGGCCCCGGGGAGAAGCCCUCGGGAGCCGGCUGGCGGAUUGCAAUGUCACCUCGCGCGGGGAUGAAUCCUCUGCAGACGACUGAUGUGACCAAGCGGGUCGUGUAAGCGGUCAAGUAGCCUUGUUGCUACGAGUCGCUGAGCGUCAGCCGACCUUGGCUCGAUUU